rnacentral:misc_RNA from 1 species
CAGAGUAAAGCUAGUCACGACAUAUGAGCUGUUACCAACAAAUGCAGGAAGAGACCUUGCUGCAUACUUCCUCCCCGCGAAGGCGACCAUGAAACCACUAGUAAGAAUAGCAGUGGAGGCUGUCGUCGUCGUAUUGAUAGUGAGAAGAGAGAUCUCGUCGACCUUGGGCCGAAACAGUGCGAUCUGCGCGUUGCCGCCGGAGGAGAGCGGGAGGCGAUUAUCGCAGGGGG